UACGUAGGUGGCAAGCGUUGUCCGGAUUUACUGGGCGUAAAGAGCGCGCAGGCGGUCGUUCAAGUCGCGUGUGAAAGCCCCCGGCUCAACUGGGGAGGGUCACGCGAUACUGAUCGACUCGAAGGCAGGAGAGGGUAGUGGAAUUCCAGGUGUAGCGGUGAAAUGCGUAGGAUAAUCUGGAGGAACACCGGUGGCGAAGGCGACGCCUGGACCGGCAGUUGACGCUGAGGCGCGAAAGCCAGGGAGCAAGCGGG
rnacentral:rRNA from 1 species